AAACAGACGUGGAUCUUCAUUGUGACAACUGCAGUGGGCAAAACAAAAACAACUUCAUGCUCUGGUACAGUGCCUGGCGGGUUGGACACAAGCUUCACUCCACACUUAGCAUCCACUUCCUUAUUGCUGGCCACACCAAAUUUGCCCCUGACUGUGGCUUUGGACUAAUCAAGCAAGCAUUCAUGAGGAUCAGAGUCAACACUUUGGCAGACAUCGCCAAGGUAGUGGAAAACAUCUCUCCUGAGAGUCACCUCAAUAUCCCACAGCUUGUUGGAAUGGCAGAUGGCAGAGUGAUAGUCAAGACCUUCGACUGUCAGACGCAUCUGAGUCCCUACUUCUGAAGGCUCUCACAGAUCAAGAGUUAUCAGCACUUCAGCUUUGAUGCCAAGAGACCAGGUGUGGUGCUUGCUAGAACUCACAGUGAUGCAGAACCUGUCGAAUUUCAGCUACUGCACAAUCCAGGAGUUCUGCCCCCUGUUGACAGUCCUCCUGUCUGAACAUUGACAGGCAACCUAUCUUUUUGAAAAAAAUCAGGCCUUUCUGUGCUGACGAGGCAAGAGACAUCACAUGCCCAGUGCCAAGGGUCACAGCACAGAAGAGUACGCAGAAGAGGAUGCGGGUGUGAUAUCACCAAAUAUUGGACUCUCCUUCACACCCUCUCCACAAUGUGCUGAUCAGCCACAGGAGCUCAUUCAGCAACAGACUGAU